rnacentral:lncRNA from 1 species
AAGAUGAGGCUUUGAAGGCAAGACUUGAACUUUUACUUCAAGGAUAGGGAUUAAGAAUUGUGCUUUCAUAAGUUUCGAGGUUACCUCGCAGUCCAUCAAUUGUGACGUCCGUGAUUCCUAUAGACUCUUGGAUGGCAUUUGCUUUGGAUCGCCAUUCGGGAGUGAGACUCCGCAAGAUUUUUCGAACUAGAUCUUUGUUCG